rnacentral:rRNA from 1 species
CGCUGGCGGCAGGCCUAACACAUGCAAGUCGAGCGGCAGCGGGAGGAAGCUUGCAUUCCUCGCCGGCGUAGCGGCGGACGGGUUGAGCUAAUGUCUGGGAAACUGCCCGAUGGAGGGGGAUAACUACUGGAAACGGUAGCUAAUACCGCAUAACGUCUACGGACCAAAGUGGGGGACCUUCGGGCCUCACACCAUCGGAUGUGCCCAGAUGGGAUUAGCUGGUAGGUGGGGUAAUGGCUCACCUAGGCGACGAUCCCUAGCUGGUCUGAGAGGAUGACCAGCCACACUGGAACUGAGACACGGUCCAGACUCCUACGGGAGGCAGCAGUGGGGAAUAUUGCACAAUGGGCGCAAGCCUGAUGCAGCCAUGCCGCGUGUGUGAAGAAGGCCUUCGGGUUGUAAAGCACUUUCAGCGAGGAGGAAGGCGUUGUAGUUAAUAGCUGCAGCGAUUGACGUUACUCGCAGAAGAAGCACCGGCUAACUCCGUGCCAGCAGCCGCGGUAAUACGGAGGGUGCAAGCGUUAAUCGGAAUUACUGGGCGUAAAGCGCACGCAGGCGGUCUGUUAAGUCAGAUGUGAAAUCCCCGGGCUUAACCUGGGAACUGCAUUUGAAACUGGCAGGCUAGAGUCUCGUAGAGGGGGGUAGAAUUCCAGGUGUAGCGGUGAAAUGCGUAGAGAUCUGGAGGAAUACCCGGUGGCGAAGGCGGCCCCCUGACGAAGACUACGCUCAGUCNAAGCG